UACGGGAGGCAGCAGUGGGGAAUAUUGCACAAUGGGCGCAAGCCUGAUGCAGCCAUGCCGCGUGUAUGAAGAAGGCCUUCGGGUUGUAAAGUACUUUCAGUCGUGAGGAAGGUGUUAAGGUUAAUAACCUUAGCAAUUGACGUUAGCGACAGAAGAAGCACCGGCUAACUCCGUGCCAGCAGCCGCGGUAAUACGGAGGGUGCGAGCGUUAAUCGGAAUUACUGGGCGUAAAGGGCACGCAGGCGGUUAAUUAAGUUGGAUGUGAAAUCCCCGGGCUUAACCUGGGAAUGGCAUUCAAGACUGGUUAGCUAGAGUCUUGUAGAGGGGGUAGAAUUCCAUGUGUAGCGGUGAAAUGCGUAGAGAUGUGGAGGAAUACCGGUGGCGAAGGCGGCCCCUGGGACAAAGGACUGACGCUCAUGUGCGAAAGCGUGGGGAGCGAAACAGGGAUUAAUA
rnacentral:rRNA from 1 species